GCCACCGUAGCUUAGCCUGGUAGAGCGUCUGAUUCGUAAUCAGAAGGUCGGGGGUCCGAAUCCCUCUGGUGGCU
rnacentral:tRNA from 2 species